AUCUCAAACCCUAGGCUUCUCAGAUUUCCUCACCCCUCAUCUCUCCUCCCGUGCCGUUGCCUCGCAUCGUCAUCUUCCUCCGUGUGCUGCCGCUACCGCGACCCCCCUGCCUGCUCGCCUCCACGGCCACACGGAGGCCCCCCUUGUUGCUCUCGGUUCUCACUCCUCUCUUUUUCCUGUGUUGUCGCCCCGCCCCCAUGGUCUUCUUCCUCGUGCCAGCACCGGCCCUAUGCCCCCUCCUUGCUCACCUCCAUGGCCUCACGGAAGCGGACCUUGCCGCGAGUGGUUCUCAGUUCUCCUCACCUCCUCCUCUCUCCUUUCAGGAUAUGUCUUGCCACCACCGGCGUCGCUGGCGCCGGCCGUCCACGCAACCUAGACGCGAGAGCUGGCGCUGGCCGGAGCUGCACAAGGUGUCGCUGCUGGAGCAGCGGACGACGGCGAAGGCGCUGCAGCAGCACCUGGUGCUGGCGCUACACUACUUCUUCCCCAUCUUCUACAAAAUCAAAAUAGCAGUUUCAAGUACCAGAUGAUGCAAGGCUUUCAGCCAGAAGCCCAGAAGUGUAGCUGUUCUCUGAAAUCUUUGCCAAAAGGUUAAUUUCAUUCUGCCUUGCAUGCUACCUGUUUAGCAUGAUCGUUAGUUUAUUCGCUAACAAAAAACUUUGCUGAAUGGAUGACUUCCUUCUGAGAAGACUGAACUGAAUAAUUAUGUCAAAGUUGUUUUAGUAGUUUGGAUGACCAGCAACAUUUGCACUUGUCCAUGCUGAUGGCACUACAACAUUCCUAGGUAAGGCCUUAAAGUUCAUCAAAGAUUAUGGUAAAUCCUUUUUGCAUAUUUUAAUAAUUCAGUACAUGUUUGUUAAGAUAAUGGCUGUAGUUUUCUCAAGAGAUGUGUGGAGAUGUGUCUAGCAUAUGAUUAAGGUAUAACAGUAUAACACAGUUUCAGUGUCUACACUCAAUCCAUCCACUUGGCUUUGUUUGGUUGAUAUCUUUUUGUUCUUGCAUAAUGGAUUAGUUCAUGGAUGGCAUCUCGAUUUUGCUCUGUGCAAAUGUGUGGUGGUACACACUUCACAACAUAGUUACAUCAUUGAAGAGAAUCGUGACUACAAUGAGUGGAACUGCACUAUCACUAUAGGUCUAUAGCAAUAGAGUUAUGAAGGAACUUUAUCAUUCACUGACUCACAAUUGCUGCAUGUUUUAUAUAAUGAGUUUUUGGUUGAUGGAGCUCGGGUUGUGGGUAAUAGAUGCAUCCAGUCAGAUCGUGUUCACUUGGGAAAGGGUACAUGGAUUUUGUGCUGAACACAAACUUACAAAGGCACAUGUCUUAACUCUUAAUACAAGUUUUUGCUUAAUGAGUUCAUGUGAGUACCAAUGUUCAUAUCAAACUUUGGUGAAUAUUCACCUUUCGCAUAACAAUUCUUAGUUUCAAUAGAUUAGCGUGUUUCAUGGACAUGGAAUGGAGAAGAUCUACCCCCUCCUGAUACAUGUGUACUGCCUGGCACGCAUGUUGUUAUUGCAUCACUGAGCAGGAAGUUCCCUUUUCAGGUCUAUAAAGAAAGUGUGCAAGUUCUAUUCUUCACUGUUUUUUGGCUACAUUUACUGAAAUAUGACCUUUGUUCAUAUGAUCUACUGAUAAUUCUUCGACCUUUCAAUUUCACAAAACUGGCAACUAUUUUUAUGCUCUCCAUCCUACCAAAAGUAUACAUUGUCUUUCUACUACUUAGACCUGGGUAUGAGCAAGUCUGUUGCAUUUCUAUUCUGUCAACUACUUAUACAUGCACUACAUUAUGUAUUUAACUUUUAAGAAGAUCAAGCAGAUGUUUGGUAAUCAAAGCACUUGUUUUUGAUAGAGACAUGCAUUCUUUUUCCUUAAAUUGAUUUUAAGGUACCGAAUAACUAAGGGUUUCUUAAGUAGGAGCAAGUGAACUAGUAAAAAUGUGAAAUUAUUUAUUCUGAACUGCUAACUCUGUAUUGUGAUGACUUGCAGGCUCCUUGAUGCCAUAAAAGAAUAUUACUGAAAUGCCUUCUGCUUGUUCAUUCGAUUCACAUAUAUUGGGUGCACCCAUAAGGCGAGGGCAUCUAUCACAAAAGUCUGUCAUGAAGCGAAAGAGAUCUUCAAAGAGACAAAAGGCCAAGUUGGUCAUGGAAAGCUUGAAAUUUUAUUGCAUGGCGUCGGAGAAGAAGCAGUCGAACCCGAUGCGGGAGAUGAAGGUCCAGAAGCUCGCGCUCAACAUCUCCGUCAGCGAGAGCGGUGAUCGCCUCACCCGCGCCGCCAAGGUACUGGAGCAGCUGAGCGACCAGUCACCGGUAUUCUCCAAGGCAAGGUACACUGUGAGGUCGUUUGGGAUCCGGCGCAAUGAGAAGAUCGCAUGCUAUGUGACGGUGCAGGGUGAGAAGGCAAUGCAGCUGCUGGAGAGUGGCUUGAAGGUGAAGGAGAACGAGCUGCUGAGGAGGAACUUCAGUGACACUGGUUGCUUUGGAUUUGGUAUCCAAGAGCACAUUGAUCUUGGCAUCAAGCGUCGGAGAAGAAGCAGUCGAACCCGAUGCGGGAGAUGAAGGUCCAGAAGCUCGUGCUCAACAUCUCCGUCGGCGAGAGCGGUGAUCGCCUCACCGGCGCCGCCAAGUGACACGACCUUGACAGUCAAUAUGCUCUUUCAGGUUAUUUUCUCCUGAAACCACUUCUUUUGCCAUCUCCUAAUGUUAUGGUCCCAGUUACAUCUCCAUUCAUUGCAGGAGAUGGUCCCAGUUACUUUACAUGGUUCUGUUGGACACAAUGAAGCCAUCCAGAUAUGCUAUUAAAAAUCCUGCUAGUCAUUAUGGCUUUAAACUGUACCAUGUCUGUUCUAUUUUCAGCUAGGCAGAGCAUGUUCUAUUUACAGCAGGCCAGCAGACACCAGGCAGUAAUGUGAUGUAUGAGUCAAUUAUCAGGAUGGAAAUGUUUUUUGGCAGCUUUCUCAGUGAAUCAGUAUCACCGCAGAACCUUUUUGGACACCUAGAUGUCGAGAGAUGCCCAUUCCUGAGGAAUAUCAAUGGAGCUACAACCUUUUCCCUCUCUUCUGCUUUGCCAGUAGCUGCUCAAGGAGGCAAGGGUCCAAUUUUUGAGGAAGGGUCAGGCUUUGAGUCAGCAUUCAAGCUUUUUCAUGGCCGAGAUGGAAUAGUUCCCCUUUCAGAAAGAUCAUAUGUAUCUGAUGAAAACCACAAUGAGAGCAUUGACGUCAAGUUAUAUACUUAGUUAGGCUCAAUUUAGAGUACACUUAUGUAGAGUACACUUAUUUAUAUUGAACUGUCGGAGUUCAUACAUAUGUAUUAAGUUAUAUACUUAGUUAGGCUCAAUGUUAGCACAAACAGUUGAUGAGCAACUUUAAAUUUAGAAUACACUUAUGUAUGAGUUAUUUGACAAUGCUUAUUUAUGAGAUAUUGAAUGUUAUUUAUCUAUAUUAUAUUAAUUAUAGUGUUAUUAAAUA